UACAGAGGGUGCGAGCGUUGUCCGGAAUCACUGGGCGUAAAGGGCGCGUAGGUGGCGCCGCAAGUCCAUGGUGAAAGCUCGAUGCUCAACAUCGAGUCGGCCACGGAGACUGCGGGGCUCGAGCACUGUAGGGGCAGAUGGAAUUCCGGGUGUAGCAGUGGAAUGCGUAGAGAUCCGGAAGAACACCGGUGGCGAAGGCGGUCUGCUGGGCAGUUGCUGACACUGAGGCGCGACAGCGUGGGGAGCAAACAGG
rnacentral:rRNA from 1 species